rnacentral:misc_RNA from 1 species
GUGAAUCAUCGAAUCUUUGAACGCAUAUUGCACUCUCUGGUAUUCCGGAGAGUAUUCCUGUUUGAGGGUAAUUAAAAAGAAUCUUUAACCAAUUUUUUUUUUGGUCAAAGGAUAUGAGUUUUCCGCGUUUAUAGCGUUAGCUUGAAAUAAAUGUUCAAGUCCCAUUUUAGUCGAGACCCUAAAUAAUAUUAUUUCGCGAAAUCUUCUUUAUGUGACUA